rnacentral:rRNA from 1 species
GAACGCUGGCGGCGUGCCUAACACAUGCAAGUCGAACGGGGAGUUUGUUUCGGUCAGAAUCCUAGUGGCGAACGGGUGAGUAACGCGUAGGCAACCUGCCCUCCGGCCGGGGACGAACACUCCGAAAGGGGUGGCUAAUACCGGAUACGAAGUCUGUGCCGCAUGGUACGGAUUUGAAAGAUGGCCUCUAUUUAUAAGCUAUCGCCGGGGGAUGGGCCUGCGUCCGAUUAGCUGGUUGGUGGGGUAACGGCCUACCAAGGCGACGAUCGGUAGCCGGUCUGAGAGGAUGAACGGCCACAUUGGGACUGAGACACGGCCCAGACUCCUGCGGGAGGCAGCAGUAAGGGAUAUUGGUCAAUGGGCGGAAGCCUGAACCAGCCAUGCCCGCGUGAGGGAAUGAGGCCCUACGGGUCGUGAACCUCUUUUAUUCGGGGACAACGUCGGCGUCGCGAACGCCGUGUGAGGGUACCGAAGGAAUAAGCGUCGGCUAACUCCGUGCCAGCCGCAGC